rnacentral:rRNA from 1 species
UGGGGAAUAUUGGGCAAUGGGCGAAAGCCUGACCCAGCAACGCCGCGUGAAUGAUGAAGGCCUUCGGGUUGUAAAAUUCUUUGGACAGGGACGAAGAAAGUGACGGUACCUGUAGAACAAGCCACGGCUAACUACGUGCCAGCAGCCGCGGUAAUACGGGGGAUGCGAGCGUUAUCCGGAAUUAUUGGGUUUAAAGGGUGCGCAGGUGGCUAAUCAGGUCAGUGGUGAAAAGCUAUGGCUCAACCAUGGUCUUGCCAUUGAAACCGUAUAGCUAGAGAGGAGACGAGGUAGGCGGAAUGUGUGGUGUAGCGGUGAAAUGCAUAGAUAUCACACAGAACUCCGAUUGCGAAGGCAGCUUACCAGGCUUUAUCUGACACUUAGGCACGACAGCGUGGGGAUCAAACAGG